CGUUUAGGGGUAAACCUGAGAAACCCGAAAGGUCGAAAGGAGAAAUUCAUUCGCGUUUCGAUGUAGGCGUUGAGCGGUGCGUGUGACGAAAUAGUUUCGAUUAUUUCGCGCCCUCCGUUUUUCGAACUUGCAACGAACGCGUGCACUUUUCUCCUAGUAGGACGUCGCGAUCCGUUGGGUGUCGGUUUACGAAUGUUGCGAUGGAGCCCGUUUGUAGCAUUUUCGGAUGUUUUUACUUACGAACUCGUACAUUCUAACCGACUCGCUCGACGGUAUGAUUGAAAGGUUUUGAGCCGCUGCUUGUUUGGCGUUCGACUCGUGGCAAGCGCGCUAGUCUGGUUGGCUAUCGGACCUAGUGCCGAUACUGAUCCCUAGUGACUGUUGGCUGCGAUGUUCUCGAACAGACUCUUAACCGAUCUGCGACGCUAUAGCUUUGGGUAAUUUCAGGACCCGUCUUGAAACACGGACCAAGGAGUCUAGCAUGUACGCGAGUCAUUGGGAAUUAUUAAACCUAAAGGCGUAAUGAAAGUAAAGAUCUUUCUUCACGAGAGAUCGAGGGAAGAUGACGAAUCCUACGGGGUUUGUUCGCAUUCCCGGAGCGUCUCAUUCUCAUUGCGAGAGGAGGCGCACCAAGAGCGUACACGCUGGGACCC
rnacentral:rRNA from 1 species